UGGGCAGCAGCCAGCUGUUUAAAAUGCAACUGUGCGGCUGCCAAUAUCGAAUGGGCAAAACAGAUGGGAAAAAGGAAAACGAAAACGUAUACUCACGCCCGGCCUGCUUGACCAACGUAAGAAACGCGUCUGGAGGGGUCAAAGUCCAGGUCGAAGUUCAGUCACCGGCGCCCAAAGGCUCAACAGUGGAACAGGAGCAACACUUGUCCAACCUUGUGUCUGGGACGGUGCCAACUUGCUACAAUAAAAGGGUGGAAACUGACGAUCGAACAAAAACACGUCCGCACGCUCACUUUCACUUUCACCUUUUCUAUGUGUGUGUGUGUGUGUGUGUGUGUGUGUGUGUGUGAGACUUCAGAAAUGUGUGACCACUAAUGUGCCACGUGUCGGGGGUUUUGGUUGUGUAAUUAUGGCUAAGCCAAGGCACGAGGGUGGUAUAAAACAUUUGUGGCUGACCUAGAAAUGUACAAGAAAAUGCCAGCAUUGCUGUUCCUGUUCUAAAAGUUGUUGUUGUUGUUAAUGCAAGUCAUUGAGUUGUUGAGCGUUUUUUCAAAUACCUCUGAGGACAGCUGACAACUCUUCACAACCCUUGCCUGCCUUCCUUGCCUUAUCUAUCGCACAACCUACACCUUGACGAGCACAGCUCGACGCUGUCGGCCAUUUUCACAUUUCCACACAAUUUCUUCACGUGCCAAAAUGCUUCACACAUACAUAUGUAUAUGGUAUAUAUAGUACCACCCCCAGACGCUUACAAUUAACUUAAAUGACUGUAAAAGACCUUAGCACUGCGCCAUUUCAAAUCGAGCGACAUUCAGAGCGAGACAGGGACACAUUAAAUUGUUUGUGGCUGUGGCGUAAAUUGUGGUAAGUGGUUUUUCAAGGUGUCUACGUCGCCACACCCAAUCCCAACAGCAACACAAAGAACAAGCCAAACAAAAAAGAGAGUUGUGCUGCUCAAAUGCUGUCGCGCACCUUUUGACAGAAAUUGAAAAAUACACAGACAACAAUUUAGUUGCAAAAUGACGGACGUCGCAUUGCAUUACACAUCAAAACUGUCGUUGAGUGCUGUUGGCGCCCCAAGCUAUGCUACACUUUUUUCCCCUCUCUGUGUAAGCUGCGCGAAAUGGAGGGAGGAAUGGAAUGGAGAAAAACUGCAAAAAAGCGUGGAUAAGAAGUUCACAUUGCAAUAUAAAAAACGUAUUUAUCAUAAAUUUUUAAAACGCUCAACGCAAUAACAUGAUAUUUGACUCUCAGAGACAUCAAAUUCAAAAUUAAUAUACAUUUGAAUAUACAUAUAUUUUGAAUUAUAUUUUAAAAUAAUGUCUAAGGAAUAAAUACGGUACUAAAAUAA